UACGAAGGGGGCUAGCGUUGCUCGGAAUUACUGGGCGUAAAGGGCGCGUAGGCGGACAGUUUAGUCGGGGGUGAAAGCCCGGGGCUCAACCUCGGAAUUGCCUUCGAUACUGGCUGUCUUGAGUACGGGAGAGGUGUGUGGAACUCCGAGUGUAGAGGUGAAAUUCGUAGAUAUUCGGAAGAACACCAGUGGCGAAGGCGGCUCACUGGCCCGAUACUGACGCUGAGGCACGAAAGCGUGGGGAACAAACAGG
rnacentral:rRNA from 1 species